GAUGAACGCUGGCGGCGUGCCUAAUACAUGCGAGUCGAGCGAACAGAUGAGGAGCUUGCUCCUCUGACGUUAGCGGCGGACGGGUGAGCAACACGUGGAUAACCUACCUAUAAGACUGGGAUAACUUCGGGAAACCGGAGCUAAUACCGGAUAAUAUAUUGAACCGCAUGGUUCAAUAGUGAAAGACGGUUUUGCUGUCACUUAUGGAUGGAUCCGCGCCGCAUUAGCUAGUUGGUAAGGUAACGGCUUACCAAGGCAACGAUGCGUAGCCGACCUGAGAGGGUGAUCGGCCACACUGGAACUGAGACACGGUCCAGACUCCUACGGGAGGCAGCAGUAGGGAAUCUUCCGCAAUGGGCGAAAGCCUGACGGAGCAACGCCGCGUGAGUGAUGAAGGUCUUCGGAUCGUAAAACUCUGUUAUUAGGGAAGAACAAAUGUGUAAGUAACUAUGCACGUCUUGACGGUACCUAAUCAGAAAGCCACGGCUAACUACGUG
rnacentral:rRNA from 1 species